rnacentral:rRNA from 1 species
GGAGAAAAGCAGGGGAUCGUAAGACCUUGCGCUUUUGGAGUGGCCGAUGCCUGAUUAGCUAGUUGGUGGGGUAAGGGCCUACCAAGGCAACGAUCAGUAGUUGGUCUGAGAGGACGACCAGCCACACUGGGACUGAGACACGGCCCAGACUCCUACGGGAGGCAGCAGUGGGGAAUUUUGGACAAUGGGCGAAAGCCUGAUCCAGCAAUGCCGCGUGAGUGAAGAAGGCCUUCGGGUUGUAAAGCUCUUUCAGUCGAGAAGAAAAGGUUGUGACUAAUAAUCACAACUUAUGACGGUACCGACAGAAGAAGCACCGGCUAACUACGUGCCAGCAGCCGCGGUAAUACGUAGGGUGCGAGCGUUAAUCGGAAUUACUGGGCGUAAAGGGUGCGCAGGCGGCUUUGUAAGUCAGAUGUGAAAUCCCCGGGCUUAACCUGGGAAUUGCGUUUGAAACUACAAGGCUAGA